rnacentral:lncRNA from 1 species
UCUGGAUGUUGGGUACCAUUACUAGAUGGUCACUUCGAUUAGUAUAGGAAUUGAUUCCUGUGCUACCGGCUUAGGUUCGAACUUGCGGGGUCACACACAUUAGAGGUUCCUAUCUGAUUUGAUGGUUGAUGAAGAGUCUUAAUAUUUAUGGACUAUGAGUCCUAUGUAUCUGAGACUCUGUGAUCGAGAAUCAGGAUUCUCUGAUCAUGAGUCCCACACAUUUUGGGUACCGGGGUUAAGAGUCUUACUGGUUUGGGACUUUUCGAUCAG